CUACGGGGCGCUCCAGUGAGGGAUAUUGCACAAUGGGGGGAACCCUGAUGCAGCAACGCCGCGUGGAGGAUGACGCAUUUCGGUGUGUAAACUCCUUUUAUAUGUCAAGAAAAUGACGGUAGCAUAUGAAUAAGCACCGGCUAACUCCGUGCCAGCAGCCGCGGUAAUACGGAGGGUGCAAGCGUUACUCGGAAUCACUGGGCGUAAAGGACGCGCAGGCGGGUUGGAAAGUCAGGUGUGAAAUCCUACAGCUUAACUGUAGAACUGCACUUGAAACUUCUAAUCUAGAGUAUGGGAGGGGGAGAUGGAAUUAGUGGUGUAGGGGUAAAAUCCGUAGAUAUCACUAGGAAUACCUAAAGCGAAGGCGAUCUCCUGGAACAUUACUGACGCUAAGGCGUGAAAGCGUGGGGAGCAAACAGGAUUAGAUACCCCCGUAGUC
rnacentral:rRNA from 1 species